UCCCUCUCAGGAUGGCACCUGGAGAGUUUCUAGUACUCUACUAGUCUCGGCUACAAGAGGAAGAGGCAAGCAGAGGCCUACCCAUUCCAUUGCUAGCUUGGCCAGUGGCAAGCGAGUGGAAGGCCAUCUGCUACAAGU
rnacentral:snoRNA from 1 species